AUUUUGUGGGUCCACCAGAUGAAGAACCCCAUGCUCCACCUGAGAUACAACUGCUUGAGCAAAGCUAGGUCUAUCACAAGAUGGCAAGCUGAUGCACGCUAAGCCAAGACGGACAAUGAGGCAGGGUCGAUUCUGCACAUCAUAUCCAUGCCAAAAGACCAUAUUUGACCACACUUCAAGUUCUUGUCUGGAAAGAAUUCUGUAUGUCUCCCUCCAGCGAAUUGUUUUCUUCAGUGAAGAAAGUAAGCGAGUAAAAUCACCAUCUGCAGCUCUGAAAAAUUGAUGGA
rnacentral:misc_RNA from 1 species